GGAAAAGCAUUGUCUCUGAAGCUAAGUCAUAAGAGGUGAAUUAACUUACUCACAGUCACUGGAAGAGGUGGAUACCAUUUCCUAAAUCAUACCUACGGGAACGGACUGCAGCCUCCAUCAGCCCUGCUGCUUCUGACACCCCAAGUUGUACCUGAGCAAAACCCGAAGGAUUAUUUCAAGUUAUUGCGUAACAGAACUUGGAGGUUAAUAGCUUCCAGGCUGUGGCUCUAAAUAGAAAACAAGAAUGAUGCUGGGUAAAUUAAGAGUGGAGACCAAUUUGGCAGCUGUUCCCCCUUUCUCUACGGAGUACACAACUGGCAGUCAAAAAAGAGCUGUGAGUAGAGCUGUUGCUGGGUGCUAACAGAAAGGGGAUCAUUGUUUACAACAAAGCCUCACACGCAGUUGGAAAACAUUUAAAAUGAGAAUGAUAUUGCAAUGUUUUUGCCUACAGUGGAAAGGAAAGUGAAGAAAAAUUCAAAUCAGAUUGGCGUGGCUCCAUCAGAAAGUUUGGCCUGAACACAAACCAUAUUGCAACGCCCAAGGAAGCCGAGCGUCCCAGAGAAAUGAGUGACCCCAACGCGUGGCACUGCCUCUUGUCCUGGUGUUCUGCAGCAGCUGGAGAGGAUAUCCUCCAGGGCCUUCAAACACCUCCAGACUGACCGUGCUGGCUUGGCUGUGUACUUUCCAAACCUGCAAAAAAAAGGGAGAAAUUAUGAGCAAAGUCAAGCUAUGAUUACAUUAUUUAUUACAUUUGUUGCUACUGGCCAAUCUACUAAAUGAAGCUUUUAAAAUGUUAUCAUUCUCAUCUACCCUCUGACCCUACUUUCAUCUUCACUCGUAAGGAGGACUGCAAAUAACGCUCUCUGACGUUUCAUUCAGUCGCCCAACAAGAGGCAU